rnacentral:lncRNA from 1 species
AAAUUAAGUCAGAGAUUGAAGUUCUGCCACAAGCCAAGCAAGGCCUGGCACCACCAGAAUCUGGAAAAGACAGAGAAGGAGCCCCCCGGGAGGCUUCCAAGGGAGCAUGGCCCUGCCAACACCUAGACUUUGGACUUGUGUACUCCAGAACUGUGAGAGAAUAAAUUUCUGCUUUCAGCCACCUCAUUUGUGGAAUUCAUUAUGGCAGCCCUGGGAAACUAUGCGAUCUGUUUCCUAAAAUGUUAGUCUAUCUUCACCUUUCAAAGUUCUUCCUGUUCUUCAGAGAGGUAGAGGAGGAGAAAGAACUAUCUCCAGAGAGUGAACCCUGCUCCUUGAGUCAACUUCUUGCCAGCACUAGGCAAUCGGUUCCUGGAGCUGUAAAGAGGAGUCCGGAUCUCUGCAGGUUUCUAUUUUCCAACACAAAAGUUAAAGAAGGAUUAAUAACACGCACCUUACAAGUGGAUGAGGAUUAAAUGACAAUAUCCGGAAAACGCCUAGUACAGCCCGACCUAUGAACAAGUCUUAAUAAGACAAAUCAACUGAAAGGAAGGCACAAAAGUGCACAACAGGAACACUGAGGAGAAGAUGAACCCUGCCUUCAAUGUCCUGGGAUAAAUUAAUUCGCGAGUGCCGAGAC